UGGGGAAUUUUGGACAAUGGGCGCAAGCCUGAUCCAGCAAUGCCGCGUGAGUGAAGAAGGCCUUCGGGUUGUAAAGCUCUUUUGUCAGGGAAGAAACGGUGAGGGCUAAUAUCCCUUGCUAAUGACGGUACCUGAAGAAUAAGCACCGGCUAACUACGUGCCAGCAGCCGCGGUAAUACGUAGGGUGCAAGCGUUAAUCGGAAUUACUGGGCGUAAAGCGUGCGCAGGCGGUUUUGUAAGUUUGUCGUGAAAGCCCCGGGCUCAACCUGGGAAUUGCGAUGAAGACUGCAAGGCUUGAAUCUGGCAGAGGGGGGUAGAAUUCCACGUGUAGCAGUGAAAUGCGUAGAGAUGUGGAGGAACACCGAUGGCGAAGGCAGCCCCCUGGGUCAAGAUUGACGCUCAUGCACGAAAGCGUGGGGAGCAAACA
rnacentral:rRNA from 1 species